rnacentral:lncRNA from 1 species
AAUUCAAAUAGCAGGGGCUGGAGAGAUGGCUCAGUGCUUAAGAGUGUUUGCUGCUCUUCCAGAGGACCUGAGUUCAUUUCCCAGUGUGUUCCCAUGAUGGGUGGCUUACAACUAUCUGUAACUCCAACUCUGGGGGAUCCAACGCCCUCUUCUGGCCUCUGUGAACACUUGUACCCACAUGGUACACAUACAUACAUACAGGGCAUCCAAACAUAAAUAGGAACUUCAGGGUGACGCUGAAAACAGUAUUCCAGGGUAGUUGCUUCCCGACUGCCCUCUACAGACUGAGGAACUGUCUUUUAAAAAACACAAAACCAACCGAUACUGGCUUGUGUUUGAAUACACUGAGCUGUUUGCAUAGCCAACAGUGAGUAAUUCAGAUAAAUGGCUGCAUCGAAAAGCAAGCAGUCACAAGAUGAAAAACUCCGAUGAAAACAGAAACUACCACACAAAGUGCAGUGAUCAGAACACACUCUAGAUCAGCUGGGACCACUGGUUGCCUGAUACAAACACUGAAUAUUUGUCUAAAAACACCCUGUCAGUCUGAUAAAUGAGGGUAAAAGACUGCCUUUUCAUAACAUUCAGAGUAAAUCUUAAAAUCUGGUGUCCUUCAAGCACAGGUGAGGAUUGAAACUAAAUUCAAGUGUUGUACAGGAUAGAGUCUCUUUGUUUUUCUAAAUCAAAACUAAGAAAGGGCCAUUCCUAUAAUGUCACACCUGGAACCGUCUCUGACACUAUUAAUAGAACUGUAAGUUCCUCCAUUGUAUGAAACCAGUUUAAAUUUGGGCUUCUCUCUCUGGAGACCAAAAGAAUCCUGCCAAACAUAUCCAAGGCUCAGAGAACUUAACCGAUGAGGGCGAAGAAAGAGCAGAAGAGAGGAAAGAAGGCACACACCAUGGCAGAUGCAGACUUCUAGGUGUGCUAUGGUCCUUACACCCUUCAGUACACAGCAGCUGUGGUUUCCUGCACAGGAUUCGUCCCUUCACCAUCUCAACAUGGAUGUGGGAGGAGCUCUCGAGGCCACAUCUCUCCCUGAGGAUCUUCGAGCAGUUAAGUUGCUGGGGAUGGGAAGAGGUGUUUUAUCCCGUGUUGUAGUCAAUGGUGAUGGGUACACACUCCUGUGAACAACUUCUCAGCCAUCUGCUGUAAGCAACACUAAUGAUGGUCACUGGAUGCUUCCCAUCAAUAAUAUGAGAGACAGGAAGGGUGGGGAGAACAAGAGAGGGAAAUACAGUCAAGCCACAGAUACAUGUAUGAAACUGUCUCGGCGAAGUCCACUAUUAUGUACAGUGAUAUACAUUAAUUAAAAUAUUUUAAUUUUUUUUAAAGAGACUUUCACUGUGUACCCCUGGCUAGCCUUAAACUCACAAUAUAGACCAUAGGUCUGCCUCCCAAGUGUGGGAUUAAAGGUGCAUUCUACUGUGCCCAGCUAACAAAAAUAAUAAGAAUUUGGUUUGUUUCAUCUUUCAGGACAGGGUUUCUCUGUCAGCCUUGGCUUCCCUGGAACUCAUUGUGUAAAUCCAGCUGGUCUGGGACUCAGAGAUCUUCCUGACUCUGCCUCCUAAACAUCUGGAUUAAAGGUCUCCAAGAAGAUAUGAACACAGCCACAAAGGACUCCACCUGGAUUGUGGUAUGUCAACUACUAGGAAAGACUGCCUCAAUGUCUUGACCACUGCCAGGGCCCAGCCUGAACUAUAGACAGAGGACAACUGGAGAAUUGAAUGUCUCAUGUUGCCUAAGACACAAUGAGGUUAUCUCUUCCAUGUUCCUGCCCCACAAAAAAAGACUUCGCAUCUUCUGGUCCUGAUGGCCAGACAGCCUCUGGCCACAAUGCAAUGGAGACCACAGGAACCUGGGAGAACUUCCUGGGUAGUAGACCGUGGAUUAAUCUCCGUCAUUUUAAUUAAUAUAUGACACUUAGGUUAUUAUUUAUCCUUCUCUGGUCUCUGAUCACAUGACGGCUAAGCUGUCAUAACAGCUAGAGAAUAGGCAACUAGCUCCUUACCCCAAGGUUAAGUUAACACCAUGUUAGUUCAUUAGUUGAUCCAUCAGCUAGUUAAACCUACCAGCUCUCUUAUUAGAAAUGUGAACAGGUUUGCCUUGCUCACAGGCUUUGUGAUAAAA